AUCCAGGUGACGAGUCCCAAACGGGACGAAACGGACGUCCUGGAU
rnacentral:hammerhead_ribozyme from 1 species